rnacentral:lncRNA from 1 species
UUUUUUUUUUUUUUUUAGGUUGGCUGACACAAAUUAAAAAAUAAUUUAAAAAAGAGAUUUUUUAGCUAAAUCACCAAACCCUAGGAUAUUUGGUCGCUAAAUUAAUUAUUGAUUGUUAGUUUUUAAAUAAUAAACUAUUUUGUUUAUGUUUGAAACAAUUUUUCCUCUUUCUAGAGCAAACAAACGUUUAAGAUAUAUUUUUUUUUCUACGUUUGAAAAAUUGUGAAAGAAUUUUUUUUAAUUUCAUAUGAAAAAAAAAAUUAGAAUUGUUUGGCUUUAUUCAACUUAUAUUUUAUGUUGCUAAUUACAUUGGUAACGAAUGAAAAAUUUUAGAAUAAAUGUCUAUAAGCUAGCAUUAAUCACAUAUUAUGAUUGGAGUAUUUUGAUAACACAAAAAAGUCAAAAUCUCACAUAAACAUGCAAAUAAAUUACCAUAAACAUGUUGUGUCCUACAAAUUAAUUUAAGGCAACUAAGUCAAAUUUAUGGAGAUUGUAUUUCAUAGAUGACUAUAUCAAAUAUGGAAAAAAAAAACAUUUUAUAAUAUCUAAAAAGUUUGAAUUUUGUGACAAAAAUAAUAUAGUUUACCAUCAUAUUCAUAAACCUAUCAACUAGAGAUUGAAAAAUAAUAAUUUAUCAUAUAGUUAGCUAUCUAGAUUUCAAUUAUUUGAUUGAAUUUAGUAAACAGAUUUUCUUACGUCCCAUUGUGAGCCCUAGUGUAAAUAUCGUUAGGAUUGAAUACCACAAUGGAUCUUCUAUCUCAUUCUUUGUGUCACUUUCUGUUUCACUUUUUUAUUAUAUUACUAUUUUUUUCAUAAAUAUCAUAUUUUAAUUCUCUUUUGUUUUCUUAAAAUUUAAUAACUAUUAAUUGAGUAAAAAAUAAAUACAACAGUCUCAAAAAACUUUUUAUGUAUUACUUAGUCAAUACUUGUUGCAUUUUAAGGAAACAAAAGAGAAUUAAAAUACGGUAUGUAUGAAGAAAAUAUAAAAAUAUAAUAAAAAUGAGACAAAUAGUAUAAUAGAGAAGAAGACAAAAUAUCCGUUGCUGUCGAAUAUUAAGUGGGUUGAUUUGAGUACAAUUCAAGCUCUCCAUUUUAACAUUUUCCAAAAUUUCAACCUUUUAAGAUGGUUAUACACUUUACAAUUGUAGUUUGGUACACCGGGCUAAUUAAUGUGAAUUGAAUCAAAAAAAGGCAUUACAAUUCGAGGUAACAAGGCCUAAGAAUUGCAACAGAUUUACUAACUUUACCAAGCGAGUUUAUUCAUGUACUUGGGCAUAAAGUAACUGAGUUAGACGCACACACAACACAGCCUUCUGUGUCCCAGUCCAAUUAUAUUUAUGAGUAGUAGUACUAGAAAUGAUCUGGCUGUGCCAAUGCGCAAUUUUUUUGUGUAAAAAAUAUUGAAAAAUUCCCUAUAACUCUCAUUUUUAAAAUUAAUAGAACAAGGAAGAUCGUAAUUGUCACCAUGUUGAGAAACCAUGGGUUUGUUUGGAUUGUAAGUUAUUUGGGAUAUUUUUUAGGUUACUUUUUAAGAUCGCAUAAAUAUGAAAUAGGCGUUUGGAUAGUAAGUAAAUCGUGUAAAUUAGCAUUUGGACAGGUGCUCAUUAUUGAAUUUAAGCAGGUGACUUUGACUUUUCAAAUUUUGACUUUGACUUCGAAAAUUUUGACACAGUACUAUGUUUACGCUAAACCAAUUGCAUACUUAAUACACAAACGGUACAGAUUAAUUUAGAAGUUGGAAAUCGAGGGCAUUUUAAGUACACUCUACACAUGGGAAAAUAAAUUUUAGGGACAUUUACAAUCCUUUGUAAUGCGAUGAACACCUAACGGCGGCGUCGCCCCCGUGCUGCGUACAUUUGAGUCGCUAUGUAGUCUCGUUUAGCUUUCCAUUCUGCCAGCUCUGCAGGAGAUACAUUUAAUGCGAACGGUUGAAGUACUAGCCCGCCUAUUUCUGGCUCUUCAUUUAAGUGCACGUCUUCUGAUUCAAACCGUUGAAAAUGGGCAUCUUCUGGUUGGUGCAUCCUUAAAAAGUUGUGCAACGCACAACAAGCAAUGACUAUACUGAUUUGAGUGCUCAUAUAGAAAUUAUCUACCGGACCCUUUAACCAUUUGAAUCUUUUCUUAAGCACACCGAAUGUGCGCUCAAUGACAUUGCGAAGUUGCGAAUGUCGAGUAUUGAACAAGGUCUUUGCCGGAGAUUCGGACCCCACGUUCUUAUACGGGGGCAUGAAACCAGGAGCAUUCCUGUAUGCCGCAUCAACUAAGUAGUACUGGCCUAAUUGACAAAGUUAUUCUAAUUAAUAAACGCGAUAAAAAAUAAGAGUUGUGGUAAUAAAGCGUAGCACAUGCUUGACUUGAAAUAUUGGACCCAUCACUUACCAGGUUGCGGCAGUGGAAAAUCGGACGGAUAUGCUAAUGCUGAGUCCAACACUCGCGCAUCGUGUGCACUUCCCUCCCAUCCAGCAUACACAUAGAUGAAGCGCAUGUCAUGGUCACAAACUGCCAUAACAUUCUGUGAUUGCCACCCGUGCCGAUUUGUAUAUGCCAUUUGCUCGCCUGUCGGAGGACAAGCUGAGAUGUGGGUGCCAUUCAUCGCUCCCACGGCAUCCUAAUAUGUGUAAAAAAUAUGUAAUCAACUUUCUAGAAUCGUCUUACGUUAGAGUCACCAAAAAUCAGAUGUUCUUUCCACAUUACCUUGAACCAUGGAUAAAAAUUAGUUGAGUUUGCAAUUCGUGGAUGAACUGCAGUCUGGUCACUCGGUCGUAUUAUUUCAGUUGCAAAUAGACACAGGCCUCGGAGCACCUUUUUUAUAUUUCGAUUAAUCGUCUCGAUGGAUCGAUCAAAAAUAGUCCCCAACACACGGUGCGUAUGCUUGUGGCUGACCAACAUUAAAGUCAUAGCAAGCGCCUCCUGUAUGGGCACGCGUUGUUGGUAAUUGUGUGGAACGUACUGUCUCUCGACAAGGAUAUUGGACAGUAGCAAGAAAUUAUCAACCGUGAUACGCAUGUUGUCUAUUGAGCGUCUAUGAUGGCCGUAGAGUACGCGUUCCACCCACUGCCUAUCUGUGAAUGAACCAUCAUGUUGCAGAAGUGGUUGAUUAUUAUCCACGUGUGCAAGUGACGGAUGCAUUAACAUUAACGAGGCACUCAUAAGAAUUAAGGCCUCAUCUUCCUCAUCUUGCCUCAUGCGGUCCGCAUUGCAUCCUCUAGCACCAUGGCGGUUGUUCCAGGCCAUGAUAAGAGUAUAGAUCUGUAUAUAUUUUUACAUAAGCGUGUUCGUAUGUGUAUAACCAAUUCCAUAAAUGUGUUAAUACACGUGUUAAUGGAAAUGUCAGGAAUCUAGACAAUUUUAUGGCUUUAAAUGUAUUUAUGUAAUUGGUCAGACAUGUCCCAUUAGAGUCUUCAUCAUCCUCUCAAACCAAUUACGAAAACUAGCACAUGCUUUAUGAAGUAUAAAUUAGCAAUAUGACUUUUAAAUAGAAUACUUAGCAAUAUGACUUUUAUAGCACGUAUUUGACAAUAUGACUUUUAAUAUAAAUAUAUUGUAAUCUACUAUUUUUGUAUAUUAUUAUAAAGGGUAAAAAACAAAAAAGCCCCCUGUGAUAAGUCUAAUACACAGAAAAGCCCCCUAUGGUUUCAAAAUAUACAAUACGACACCUCAUACUUUGAACUAAAUUAUAAAGGUGACGGAAUCCGUUAAACUUAACGGAAAUGACUUAUUGGAACCUAAAAUUUUUUUUUUAUGACAAGUUUUUAUCAAAUAUACCUAUUCUACCCCUUAAUCCUCAAUUCUCUCUACUUAGAGACUAAAACAAAUGAUUUUUUUGAGCUGUCUUUUGCUUAUUUAUAUCAGUGCAUUUUGGUCAUUUUGUCCAUUUCCGUUAAGUUUAACGGAUUCCGUUACCUUUACAAUUUAGUUCAAAGCAUGAGGGGUCGUGUUGUAUAUUUUGAAACCAUGGGGGGCUUUUCUAUGUAUUAGGUUAACCACAUGGGGCUUUUUUGUUUUUUACCCUAUUAUAAAUAUAUAUAAUUAUAAAUGAAUAAAUUAAUAUAUUUGUGAUUUAAAAUUUAUAUAUUUUUAUAUAAAUAUACAUUUAUGCAUUUAUAAUAAUAAUUAUUAUAAAUAAAUAUAUUUAUUUACUUAUAUAAAACUCUUAUAAAUAUAUUAUAAUUGUAUUAUAUUAUCUAUUACUAUAAUACAUAAUAUAAAUAUAUUUUUUUGAGUAUAAAUAAAUUAUAUAAGGGUCAAUAUUACUAUAAAUGUAUAAAUUAUAAAUGAAUAUAUUAUAUAAGUAAUUUUGGGGUGCAACAAAAAAUGGAAGAAAAGGAGCAUAUGGAUAUGCAGGCAUAAAUAAUUAUGUUGGGCCAAGUGUAGCUCAAAGCCCAGUAAACAGUUGCAGUUUUUUUGUAGAUUGAAGCUCCUUGACAACCUGAGGAUCCAGAAGCACCAUAACUCCUGCUGCCUUCAGGCUCAAGCACCACAUAUUUGCUGGUGCCAAAAAAUGAUUAUUGUUUUUCGAUUCUCUCUAUCUUGGAUUAGGAAGGAAAAAGAAGGGAUCCAGCCCAAAUUCUCAAAUCUAUGCCGGCCUAAACUAAAGUGCCACUCUUUCGUCUUAUAAUUCUUUCAUUUAUCUCUACAGACAUGGGGCUUUAGAAUCAUUCAUAUAUACACGCUGCAUCACGCUUUUGGUAGUACAGCAACCCUUUUCGCGGCCAAUUCUGCUAAAGCAAACCACGCUUUACUAUUUCUACUUUGUAUCAAAAACAAAUCAAUUUUAACAAUUUAGUACCUUAUCCCUUCCUUUGGUGACACAUUUUUCAAGUCAGUUGAAUUAUAUUUUUGUUUACUAUUUGGUAAAUAAGAUUUCAGCAUACAUUUGUUCACUAUAAUUUUUGUUCUACAAUUUAGGGAUACCGAAGAUUUUUAAUUCGAAAGCAACUAUCAAAAUUUACUGAUAUUCAAUCAAUUUAAGCAAUGUGUUACAAAUAUUAAUCAAAGUCUACUCAAAUGCUAAGAUUGAUAGUUUAGUAUAGGGAAAAAUUGCAAUUAACCCUUAAAAUUAUAUUGAAUUAGUAGUACUAAAAUGAUAGGUGGCAAUCAUUAGAGAAGUUCUUGGCAGAAAACGUCAAGUUUCAUGAAAUACUCAUCAUCUUAAGAACCUUUUGUAAUUCCAAUACCAUACAUCAUCCAAGCUCAGAUCAAUUUAAACAGAAUAAUAAUAAUAAUAAUAUUAUCUCUCUCUCUACAAAUACAUACGCAUAUAUAAGUAUACACAUUUAUUAUCUUUCAAUUUUUGUAAAAUUUUAUUCUUCAUAACAUAUAAGUUUUUUAUUUUUUAUAUAUUUUUUUACUACUUUUACGAGUGUAUACACAUUUGUUGUGUAUGUUAAUAUAAAUGUAAUUAAUAUGUAUAAAUGUAUAUUUAAUAUUAUGUAUAUUAAUAUAAAUAUAAAAAUGCAUUACGUGAGAGUAUAUAAAACAACAAUCCAGGCGAAACUAAUUCCAGUCCGUACUAUCUCAAAAAACAUAUCUCACCAGGUUACUUCAAUUCGUAACACCUCAAAAUAUUUAUUAUCACUUUGAAGCGGUAAAAUAUGAUGAACGAUUACUUUCCAAAUAACUCGUACAAUGCAUUAAGUAAGAGUAUAAACGGCUACCAUACAAAAGAUACAAAUACCACAGAAAUUGAAUUUAGAUUGCAAUUUUAUAACUGAAAACAUCUGUCUACUAUUUACCUCGCUUCCACUAGCACGCACGUAGCUUCCGGUUGCCACACGCACACAGCUACCACACGCACACAGCUACCACGUUAACAAUUCUCGACAAGGCCGCCACUUCGUCUUGACGCUCUGUCUUCUAUCCUCUUCGUUCUUUUUUUUGGCGUAGAGAAUUGCAGGCCAAUUCUUAUUGUAGAGAAUUGCACUUCUUAAAUGUAUUUAUUGCGGGGGAUGGCUGAUCUGCAUAGGAGUUUUUAGAGAACUUCCACCACAAUUUCCACUUUGUCGUUUCAUGAGAUAUUACAUGCAAUUGGAAUGCUUUAAAGCACAUGUAUUUCCGCAAUUUAUGGCCCUCGUCUGACGACACGACACAUCCCUGAAAAUUGAAAGAGGAAACAUACGGAAAAGUUAACUUUACAGACAUUUUUUAUUGGCCAUGUAAAAGUAGUCACAAACGCACAAAUCCAUGUGCUUGUCCUUCAAUUGCAGUAGUCCUCUGUCUUCUGUUUCUUAAAUUUUUUGGUUUCUUUCCAGGGCUUUCCCUUUGAAUUUUUUUAUAGGAAAAUUAGAGAAGUUUCUUCUUACUCCAGUUCUUCUCCUUAUAUACAUGAAGGCUCUCUAUUUUUCUCAACCGGGGGAUUGCCAACUUUCAUAAGUUGGUUAAAAUACCUUUUUAUUGCCAUGAAUUUCCUCGCAUGUGUAUCUUUUUAUAUGCACUACUACUCUUUUAGUGCUUACUGACAAAAAACUUUUAGAGUGUUUAGUACUAACUAAACUAAACAACUCUUUUAGGACUAACUAAUAUACUUGUGAUAAAUUAUUGGAUUGGUCUCAAAAUUUUGCACUAAAUUGCACAAUACCGCUGGUUUAGUUUUGGUUCCGGUUUAAUCAAUUGGCGAUGGAUGGAUUUUGACCCGGCAGACUUAAAAAGCAACUCGAUUCGCAGUAAGUAAAAGUGACCUUGCGACGGUACAAUAAAACACGUAUUUCUCCUCUACCAUUUUCAGCAAACGAAUUAGGACAAGGAGGAAAUGUAUGGUUAAGCUGAGGGCGUGUCCUUCACCAACUGGUUCAAAUGGGACCAUCAAACUUCAAACCAUAUGCUGAAAAGAAAAGGAGACCAUUGAACAAUAAAUCUCUACAAGAUUGUGCAGAUCAGAUGUUGGUUGUGGUUGACUACAAAUUGGAUACAAAAAUACAUAUUAAACUCACUCGUAAAUUGGAAGCAUUGAGCAUGAUAUAAGAAAUUAUCUCAACUUUUGGAAGUAAUAGGUACUCAUUUUUCUUCAUUCAAAAGAAUUUCACACGUACAAAGCAAUAAGGAGGAAUAUGAGAAGUGUAAUGACAAUUACUUAUCACAAAUGUUAUGCACAUAUACUUUCCAAACGCUUCCUGUUAUGUCUAAAUCAGUCAGCACCAAAAAAGGAAACUUGAGCUACUGGUUUCACCAUAAAUAAGUCCUCCAAACAUUAAAAGCAAUAAUAAUAAUCUUUUCAAAAACAGAAGUUUGACGCUGCUCAAUGCCAACCAAGUUAACUUCUAUCAAAAGAUCAUAACUUAUGCUUGAGAGCCAUUUCCUUCAAUUCCCAAGACAAAUCACAAGGAGAAAAGGAACAAUGAACAGCCAGGCAUUAACUAAUCCUUGACAGAUUUAAAAAACAUCUCAGAGCCCCAGACUACAGACGAAUACCUCUCUCCACAUGCCUUGCAAUCAGAUUCAUGGCGUAAGUGCUCCAAACAUGCCCUUUAUGACCUGCAAAAAAUUGGGCAGGUGAGUUCCACGCUAAGGCACUUCAACUGUAAGAACUAAAAAAAUAUCACCUGCUAGACAUAAAUGACAUACGCGUUGUCGGCAACAUCAAUGUGAAGAUGGCUGGAAGCAACUUGAUCAAGGAAAACAAUCUAAGACGCUUAAUAUGCUUCAUGAGAAGUUAAUAAAAUUAGCAUCAAGGACAAGCAAGUGUUAUGCACAAUCACGAAGAAACAAAUUACACAUAAUUAUUGGGAACCAAAUAUCUCUAAUAAAAAAUGGACAAGUAAUCCACAAACAACCACGUUAUACAAGUACAAUCAUCCACAAUGUACUUUAAUAGUACAAACAUUCCACAUAAUUGGCAUGCCACAUAAAGUGUUCUUAGGCCAAGCCUUUUUCCUUCAUCAACUUGAGGAUGUAGCCGUAGCGAUCGGCUGCAGAAGCUCUAAGAAAAAUAAUCUUUUCACCCUCGUUCUCAUAUUUGGCAUAGUGACAGUUAGCUUCAAGUCUCCACGCGUCCGGAAUUUCCAUUGAGGUGAUCACAUCCUGGCACUGCAUUAUGCCGUAGACGGAGUCGAACUCCGACCUACUCCGUCUGUCGUCAAGAACGAAGUCGGUGUAAUUCCCGAUCUUGCUUAUAGCAUCCUCAAGACCAGUAGAUGAUCGUGUCGAUUUUGAACCUCUACUCCCUUCAGGUUCACCACUGGUUCCUAGGCUUGAGGCUGACCGUUUUCCUCCAACUGCACCAGGAACUGGGGGAACAUAGUAGACGUCGUCGUCAUCCUCAACUGCUGUUACGUUCACCGGAGUAGGCACCCUCGAACUAGAGGCUUUACCUUUUCCCUUCCGAUUUUUAGCAGCAGUGUUGGACCGUUCUCGGCGAGGCGGUUCCGAUGGAACUACCUCGCUUGCAGACUGGGCACGGCUGCCUGUGGCAUGUCUUCCAAGCAGUAAAGGUGUCAACCGAUCGUACCAGUAGCAUGAAUUCUCUUUUUUGAAGUCAACGUACGAGGCAUUGGUCUGGUGAAAUGCAAAUAUGAAGUCAGCACACAGGAAUUGAUAGUGUACAAGGAAAAUAUUUUAUAAGAUUCGAGUUAUUUUAACAAGGAAAAUGGUAAUUCAAUUAACUUUGUCGAUAGCUAAUAUUUCUGUAUAUUAAACAAAGAGUUGUGAAUGACAAAUCACCAGCAGCUAAGCCGAGCAAUUUUCACAUUUUGCAGUCAAAUAAUCCAAUCAAAGCUAAUCCAUUUAAUCUCAAUGCCCAGAAAAGAAUGGUCAACUAAGCGAAGGAUAAUCCAACUUCAAGUAAAUCAUAUCAUGGAAACAAAGAACCUAGAUUUAUAAAUUUACUCACUAAUGCUGCCUUGAUUUGCUACUAUUACAUCUUACUUCCAAUAUAACCCAUACAGAGAGGAUAAAAGAAUCCAAAGCCACACCUGAUUACUUUGUGAAGAAACAGAAAACACAACCAAGCCUCCAAAACACACUCGUAAAAAAGCAAAUUCAGCAAGAAAGACUUAAAAUGAGGAUGAAUAAAAAAAAGAAACAACUUUUUUCAUCGACAAUGAUCAGAAUUUCAAUAAGUGGAGCCAUAAAAACCAAAAUCAACCAAAUAAUCAGCAUCCCAUUUCACCAAUUGAAGGAAAUGCACUAAUCGACAAGUCAAAUUCAUCGAAAAAAGCACAUCAAGAAAGGAGAAAAGAAAGAACAUGAAAGAUUAGAUAAAAAAAGGUUGGCACUGCAGCUGUCUAUGCAAAAAAAAAAACAAUUUAAACGAGAGUAAAAUAGCAAAGAUGUGUGGAUAUCAAAUUGGGAUGUGCAGAUAGAGGCAGGACAGUACUAACUCAUCACUUUAUCAGAAGGCCAUUCAUUAGUAUCAUUAUAAUUGACAUCAGCAGUGCAGGCACUGAAUAGAAUAGAAUUGGUCAUUUUCAAGUUUCGAAUGGCUCAGAAAUUUCUUCAUAUUGCUCUCUAAAGUUCAUAGAAGUUCUGCUGCUUCUGGUGUGACUUUGGCGAUAAGCUUUGAGAAGCUCAUAAUGAAAUAUUCCAUGCAUCUCUGAAAUUUGCUUUCUUGUUUUCUUUGUUUUUUCAAACGUGUCUUUGUAUAAGAUUUUUAAUUCUUGAAAUUAUUUUACAGAUUGAAUGUCCAAACAAUUAUGUGAGUUGUCAAAUCAACAAAAGUACAAAUGCCAUGCCCGAAUGCUGGAACUUGGAAGGAUUGAGGAAGAUCAUAGCUGAGGUGAGAUAUUAAAAUUAUCUACUCUGCCAAUAAAUAAACCAGGACAAUCCUGAUCAAGAUUCAACAUUCAAAAUUCAAAGUUACAGUUGGUAAUGGUCCCAACAAGUAACAACCUUUGCAGGAAAAGAUCUGCACGGACCAUAUUAAUUGAACAGAGGGACUUUGAUUUCAGAAAAGGUUAUCCAGAAUUGGAUAUAUAUAUAUAACAUUUACAAAUUUGACUAAACAUGUUUAGCAAAAUAUUCAAGUACUAAAUUUUCUCCUAUAAACAACUCUUUAUUUUUUCCUCCUUUGUACUUUACAACAAAUACAAGACACCAAAUUUAGUCUCAACUAAAAGGCAUCAAAGCAACUAAAAGGCACCAAAUUUUAAUUAAAGCAGGCCUGUUAAAUUCUUGAGACUAAGGAUAAAUUCUUGCGAGGAUAGGCCCAUGCAGUUAUGAAAAGGGAUGUUAUAGAUGGAACAAAUAAAUUGUUUAACUUUUGAGUUUCAUGAAAAGGGAUGUAACCCGAGUUGGAUCCGAAUUCAUUGAAGCUGUAAUUUUUUUUAAGUGAAAAUUUCAUGCGCUUACUGAAAACUCUAAAUAUUCAAGUUAUUUUAACAAGGAAAAUACUUAUAUUAUUCAGGAACCUCCCCUUAUAACUCUUUAUAACCCAAAUCUAGUUCUAUUCAGAAUUGAAUAUGUAGUUGUGCACCAAAUUACAGGUUCUUUUCAUCAUUCAAUCUAAUAAGGUAAUUGUAAUGACUGAGCUACAAGAUUAACUCAUCAAAAGACUUCGAGGAUUGAAAAUAAGACGGAAUAACAAGUGGAGUCAGCAUAUAAAAAUUGAUUAAGUCACCGGAAAAUCAAGGAUGAAAAGGCAUCAAGGAUUAGACACAAGUGAGAAUAACAAGUGCAGUUUAAACAAGAUUGAGUGCUCAGAUUUUAGUUCAAUAGGGAAUCUGAAGUCACCUUUCAAAUCUGAAGUACAAAGAAAUUCAAUUAACAGAAGUCAAGGAAGCGACAAGUCCAUACCUGCUCCAAGUUGGCCCAAUGUUCAUCAUCAGCAGUGAAACAGUAGCUGUCCUCACUCCACCCAACCCCGGUCUCUGUUUUUGAUGAAAUCCCACGCAGAUUGCAGAACAGGUCCCAUUUCUUCUUGAUGUGAUAGAAUCUGGUCUGCAAUUGCUGGCCAGUCACAGUCAUUAUGUCAUUGCUCGCCAAAUGGGCUGCCAACAUGUCGUAGUUGGUCUCUAGCGACUUCCUGUUGUCCCAAACGUUAUUUUCCCGAAAACUGACGUAGGCUGUGAGGAAAGCUUCAUCCAUUGCAUCAGUCCAGUGUAUCCUAGAAGCCAUUUGCUAAGUUUGAUGGGGAAAAACAGUUAGCAGUGGACUGAGAUAACAGAAAUUGAAUUAAAGUGGUUUGGAAACAGAUCUGGACAAUCAAUAGUGAAAGCAAAAACAGGUGCAGAAGGAACUCAACGAAGGCACUUGCCUCAAAAUAGACCUCAAGGCACUUGAUGAAGUUGUUGGAUGCAGUUGACGAACGGGUAGAGCAAUCGGACGUACAGCUAACAGGUGAGGCUUCAAAAUUCGAACAAAAAGUAUUAUUAACCAAUGAAUAUGCUGCGAAAAUUACUUUCUAAUACAGCGUAGAAAGAACAUACAAUCGCAAGAAGGCUUCUUCCUCUUCUCAGCGGUCAUAACCGAAGAGAGAACUGCCUCAGAACAAUCGAAAUGGCAGCAGCUGGACAGUAAAAUUAUUAACUCAUUGCAAAAAAUAUGCAUCCAAACAGCAAAUGGGAGUUUGCAUCCAAACAAAUUCCCAGCGUGUUAGCUUUCAAAUUCCAUUGAUCAACAAAAAAUCCCAUGCUUCUGUUAAUUCUGGAAAUUAGCAGCCCACAAUAAUACAUGUUUUUAACUCCUAACAAUAACAUUAUGAGCUAAUUGACAUGUAUCUAACCUCAUCAAAUGAGACUUACAACAGAACCAAAAGUUAUGAAUUCAAGCAUCUAUAACUGUGCAGGAUUAUGUAUUCCGUAUAAUCUGAUACAAUUUCUUUGUUGAAAAGGCACAAAUCCUAGUCCUUUUUUUUUUCUUUUGUUCUGGGUCAGACUCAAAAUGUAAAGAUUCUUUUCUCUGGGCUACUCAUGUAAACUUUUGUUUUCAAGUAUAUGUCCAAUUUUAAUUCUUCUUCAAAACCAUUUUUUCAUGGCCUUCAUAUACUGUCUGAGUUAUACAUUUAUGAAGUAGCAUCCCAUUAAACAACUUAUACUACGUUAAAGUAUGAGUUUAUUAUUCAAUAAUAAACAUGAAUGGUCAAUGCCAAGGACAAGUAACUUGCUGCUAACUUCAGAGUAUUAAUCCAGGGACUCGUUGCCUCAUUAUCAGUAAUGUUUUGCAUAUUACUGCCUUGGGCAUCCAGACGCUUAAACAUUUAACUUUAAAUACUUUAUAAAUUUUACAGCAGACCGGUAUAUUUUGCUUUUAUGUUUCCUAUCACACUUGUCCAAUCCUUGUGCGUUAUGAGGCAAACCUUUUUAAUUGGAAAGAAAGCAAAAGAAACCAUGAAAAAAGCACCAAAACUGAUUGCCAAAGGCCAAUGCAACUAAGCAGUGAAAAUCCCUUGUAUUUUUUGGUAAAACUUAUUAAACAACUUCUGUCCAUCUUUUUAUUUUCCCCAUUAAAUUUUUUGUUUCCAUGAUAAGAAAAAAGCCCAAAGACAAUAAAUCUCCUUGCUUGCAAUAUAUCCAGUUAAUCCAGUUUUAAUGCUCAUAACCUCCCAAUUUGAAAGGCCAGAGCAGCUUUAUUCCACCAUUCAUUCAGAUUCGGGUUCAAUUAAUCCUAAGUAGAUUUUAAUCUACCAUAAACGAAAUCUACUCUUCGCACACACCCAACACAAAAUCAGGUGUCCAAGGGAGAUAAUCAGCUGAUGAAGCCGUGGACAACUAGAAAGACAGAUCAAGGCAGGUUUAUGGAAUGUAAAUUGCAGCUAAAUCCAAAAAUUCGAGGGAAUUGUACCUGCCGCAGUAGAUAGGGAGAACGUGGAAUGGCCUCGGAGCAAGAAAUUCCGCUUGGGUGUUGGUAGCGUCGACCGCGGCAGGGUGAAAUGCGACACCUUCAGAUUCAAAACGCAGUCAAGGAUCUUGUUUGCCGGACGUCUCUGCAAGCUGGGUUUUAUUGCAGCUGUCUUUCCCGUCUGUUGGUAGAUGAAAAUGGUGAAGAGAGGCCCGAACAGAGGAGCACUUCUAGCCUUUGUGCUGUGUUCAGGAGUAAAUGCCUUUACUGUGGCUUUACUCCUCAACCAACGGUCAUUUUUAUUGCAGGUUUCCGUCAAAAUGCAGUUGCCACGUGAGGGAAUGAAUUGUUGCAUGACUUUAGUGCAAAAGGCUGCACUAAGGAAUCCAAUGUCGGAAGUCUACAGUAAAUAACCCCACCACUUUUAUUUACACAGUACAAACGCUAAUUUCUUAAAAUUUCAAAUAACCCACCAAUUAUGCUUUCCAAACACUGCCCAUGUUCAUGAGCAAACUAUUAUAGCAGUAGGGUAAUUAAAGCAAUGUCCAUGUCCAUGUGCAAAACUAGAGAAACUAAUAUAACAAGGAAGCUGCAAAAUAAUUGAAGAUUGAGGUAUGUUAAAAGUCUCUGUACCCCCAAGUUAGGAUCCGUCCAUUGAACAAUCCCCUUUCAAUGAACCAAGGUAUGGAACUCAGAAGUGCUUAUUUGUGCCAGGAAUUAAUCAGUGCAUGACCAGUUCCUAAAACCAAAAUUUAAGCAGAAACCAAAUUAUAUCAAACAAAUCGUGAUUUGAGUGCAGAUUCUACUUGUUGAGCCCCAUAACAUGUGAAAAAUUAGAACCAAGACAGUAGAAGCUGGGGAAAUACUCUUUAACUAUGAUAGUCACUAACAUGACAAUGCAGUAAAAGUAAAAAACAAUCGACAAAAUUAAUGUUUCUAGGUCUAUCAAAGUAUUAUUUCCAAUGAAAUUUAAAGAUAGUUCGAGCCAUUGCAAGACAUUAAAGGAUCAUUCAGCAUACAAACACAAAGGGAAAAGUAAAAUCAUUUUUGUUUAGGACCAAACAGUAAGCUAAAGAACAUCUCUCAAAUCAUCUAAUACUCCAUAACAAUGGGACACGUAAAUUUUCAGAAAACUAAACCAGUGUAGCGGUAAAGCUACCUUUAGAAGCAAAUCAUCAAACACAAAGCAUGCUACUAUUGUAAGAAAUGAUCACACACCUUAGACACUGGAUGUUUACUUUGUUGUGCUUCUUCUUGAUUCUUUCAAACUUACAAAACAAUCAAUAAUAAAAAAAACAAACAUUUCUGCUAGGAGGCCAAUUUUGGGAAAAAAAAAGGCUAGAAAAACUCAACAAUAAAUUCAUCAAAUGACUGAAAAUUGAUGCGAAAGUGUGAGUUUUUCUUCGUGUUUUUGGCUAGGAAGGCAAAUAGGGGUAGGGAGGGGAGAUGUAUAGUGCUUUCCCCUCUUUGAUUCUCUCCUUUUUCUGGGAAAAAAACAGAAUUGCAUGGUUGGGAGAUGAGACAGUGUACAUAGAAGGUAAAUCGAAAGGCCAAGCAUAAAUUGGGGGGGAAAUCACUAAUUUUUUGGCCAAUAAGAAUGUUUUUUAAAAUAUACUUUAUUAAUAUUUCUAUGCCUUAAAAUACCACAUAAAACCAGUAAAGCGCGGCUAUAUCUUCUUAAGAAGCAUAAGCAAAAACUUAUCAUAAGAGUAAAUAGCCAAACAUAUAGGCACAUAAAACUAAUAUUAAAAUAUUUAAAAUAUCGGCCCAUAUAAUAUUAACAAAAAUUUCAGCAAAUUAAUGAUACAAAUCAGAGGUAAACUAAUUACCUGGAAUGAACAGAAAUUUUACUGCAAAACCUUUUCUAUUUUCGGACCAAAGCUGAAAAUUUAAAAAAAAAAAAUUACUGAUCAGUAUAUAUGUCCGUGGUGCAAAAAAAUAAAGAAAAAAAGAAUGGCAAGAAAUGUUUUUACCAGGAUGCAAGGGAACAAAAGGCACCAAACCACUAGCGAGGAUUUUCCACUUUCCAAACAAAUUUCAAUUUUGUAUGAUGCCACGUGUCACAAAUUUCAAUUGAUGAUUAUUAAUCAGGUCACAAUUUCAUCUUAUGAUAUUUUCUUGAGAAUAAAAUGAGAAACUAGAAAGGAAAGAGAAAAACCCAAAAUUAAAAGAAUUGAAAGGCUAAAAAAAUUGUAUUUUCGAAAAGUGAUUUGAAUAUUUUUUUAAUCAUUUAAGGAGAAGAUAGAUCUAUGCAAUUGCUCUUUUUUAAUUUCAAUCAUUAAGGUGAAUAUUUUUGUGGGAAAGAGGAAGAAUUAAAUAAAGAAGAAAGAGAAAAGGAAAUAAAAGAAAGGAAAACACGGUAAAUGAAAAGUCAAAAUAAUGCAAGGGCAAUUUUGUCCUAUAGGGGGUUAAGUGAGCAAAAUUAAAGGUUAGGGGGUAAACUGAGAAAUAAAGUAUACCUUAAGGGGAUUAAAUGUGAUUAACCCUAGAAACUAUUUUGGCCUCCUUUUAUCCCUGAAGGGCUUAGUGGACAUUUAACACUUGGGCAGACAAAAAUGCCCAUGAAUAGUAUAGCACUAAUUGCCAAAGCAAUCAAAACUCAGGGGCUUAGUUGACAUUCGCCACAAUUUCAACACAAAUUUUUUAAAGUCCCCCAGUCUUGUAUUGGAAACAAUGUGGUGCAAAGUCUUGUAUUUUUAUAUAUAUGUAAGAUAAGAUAUUUAUUCAAGAGAGAUGUGAAUUUUCAUUAAAUCAUCAAAUCGGUUUGUCUAGGUCUUGUGUUGAUAACGUCUUGAUUUUUUUGUUAGACGGUAAUAGUUAGCCUAAUCUACUCUUAUUCCUAUUCCUACUCUAGCCUGCACUAUGAAAAGAGAGACCCAAUGAUUUACAACCCUACGAUCUAGACCAUGGCUAUCAAUUCGAGUUAUUACUAGUAUUGGAAUUUUACCUAAAACAAGUAAAAUUGGUAAAAUCAUGAUUUCGAUCGUAUGAUUAUAAGCUCCUACGAUCUUGAUAUGAUCAUAUUAUUUAAAAAUAUUGUGAUAAAAGUUUUAGUAUUUUGUCCAUAAAUUUGUGUAAAAAAAUUGGAAUUGAAUGCCAUUUGUCGUGUUGGAAACAAUAUUUGAAGGGUUUUAAGUUCAUGUAAAUCUUUCAUGCUAAUUCCUUACCCACAAAAAUUGGCAAACCUUUAAAAUUGACCCAUGUAUUUCAUUAGAUUAAGAAGAUAAUGUUUCAUAGAUUAUCAUUUAGGGCUAUUGUUUGGGGCUUUUAUUGUGGUAGAUUAGCAUGAUGAAGACUCUUUGGAACUGAAUUGAUUAUUUUUGUUACACCCAGGUAAGUAAAUUUUAACCCAAAAUACAUGUUGUGUCAUAAAUUUCUAUUCUCAUAAUUUUCUUCAAUUAUUUGUUUAUUGUAUACUAAUCUUUUAGUCAAAGAUAUACUUGAAAUAUUUUGUUACAUAUGCAAUAUUUAGUUACAUACACAUGAUGUUAAAUUUAGUUAAAUUUUGUUACAUACAACAAAUGAUGUUGUCAUCGAUAAAUAUUAUCUUCUUAAUUAUCUUAUUAAUAAAAUACUUAAAUGAUGUUUAAGUAUCUUAUUAAUAAAAUACUUAAAUGGUUUAUAUACAUGUAAAGUCAAAUUUUCCAACUACCUUGUCCAUCAAUUAUGUUUGGAUUUAAAAAUUAGAAAAACAAGAUUUUUAGUUUGAUCACGUGCAAUACAAUACGUUACAUAUAGUCCCAAAAUUUUUGUUUUGAUUUUAGACUACAACAAAUUUUUUAGAUAGCACAAUUUUAACUUUAAUUGAUAAUAUUCUAUUGACUGCACAUGAGUUAAAUUAUUUAUUGCUCUAUUUGCGAAUUGCAAACCUUAAAUUAUUAGUAUGAGUACUCUUUAUGUUUUGUGUAGGAUCUAUUAUUGAUUUUAUGAUCGAUUCUGCAAACACAGAAACAAUUUUAGAUAGGGUUCCAAUUUUGAAAACCUUGCUCCCAAUUAAUUACUCAGCUAAUUUUUAACUUUCCCAUUUUUCUGUAUGCGACGUCGCUUAGGGGCCGUCUGAAACCGUAACACACACGUCCAAAUUACCCUCGCCGCAAUUCCGUAUUAAUUUUCGCGUCAUCCACGUUCCUGUAUACAGAAAAUAAGGCAAAAAUGAAGGGCAAAAUUGUCACUGGAAUCUUAUAUAUAUUGGUGACGCGUUGGGCAAAUCACACGUUGGAAUUAAAGGGCAAUAAAAAAAAAGGAAAAGAGUAAAGAUAAAAAAAGUUGUAUAGAAGCUGAGAGAGCUGUUUCCGUUAUCCGAUUGUCUGUUUUUUCUCCUGCUCUCUCUCUCUCUCUCUCUCCGUCGAUAUUUUUUCUUUAUUGGGGAUCAAAUUAGGGUUUUUGUUAGCCCUUGAAUAACCGAGUCGACUCAGCCAUGCAUUCUGAUUCAAUUGCUGCCAACGCUUCCAACAUCCCUACGGCUGCCUCUAACGCCAAAGAUUUCGCCAAGAAAAAGAGGGUAAUUAUUAUAUAUAUAUAUAUGCGUAUGUACAUGUAUUAUGUGUGAUUAUGAAUGUGCGUGCAUGCAAUCAUUUAAACAAAUCAGGUGAAUUUUUGAUUUGCCUGUGUUGAUUAUUGACUGGAUUCGAGCAAAUUUUGUUAUCGGUUUCUCCUUUUUUCCGUUAAUUUUGAAGAUUGCAUUUAUAUUGAUUUUGGAUGCGAUUCUGCCAAAUUUGUCCAUAGUGGUGAAUUCCGAUUCAAUUAAGGAGUAUCUAUCUUUUGAUUAUUUAUAUUGUUUCAAGAUUAUUUUUUUUUUUGGAGAAAAUUGGAUGCUUUUAAUGGGUUUUUUGUUGCAUCCUGUGAACGUUUUUAUUUUUUUUCAAGAUUAUAUCUGUAUAACGGAAUUGAAUAAUCAUUUUAGCUUAAUGAAUCUUUUUCUUAAACCAAAAAAAAAAUUUUUUUUGGUGGGAAUUUGUAGGUUAAUCGGUCUGCCAAGUUGAAGCAGUGCAAGCUCGAUGCUCGUCGUGAGCAGUGGCUCUCUCAAGGUUUGUAAAUAUAUGUCUUUUACAUGUAGCUUUCACAUCCGGAAGGCUCUUAUCUUUUGUACUAAAACCCUAGUAGCGUGCCUGCUAUUAGGUUUGAAUUCAAAAUGAAUUGAUCUUUUGUUUUUUUUUUUUAAUUUUACAUCUUUCUGUUGGUAAUUGGGAUUUAUAUAGUCAAGAACAAGAGUGGGAAGGAGGAAUCAAAUGGUGGAACUAUUGUUCAGCCAAUGGCCACUGCAGGCAAUAGGAUGGGCAGAGCCAUAGAGAAGCUGGAAAUAAGGCCAAGGGUGGAGGAAGGGAAUGAUGGUGGAUCCGUACAUCAUUACAGCGAUUCGGAGUCACCCUCAAAUAGCCCAAUGAGCCACACUGGAAGUGUCCUGGGAGGCAAUGACUCCGGUACGAAUUUCACUGGGAGCAGUAGCAGCAGCAGUAGUAGCAGCAGUGGUGGAUGUUGUUCAGGAAGCAUGAGUGAAGAGGAUGAAGAUGGAGAGGAUGGAUGCUUGGAUGAUUGGGAGGCUGUGGCUGAUGCUUUGGCUGCUACAGAUGAGAAGCAGCAAUUGCAUAUUGGUACAGCUCCUGUGGAUAAGAAUAUUGCCCAUUUUGACUCUCAGUCAGAUGUAAAUCACCAGACAGUUUCUGGUAUUGAUAUUUCGAAAGAAAAGCCAGAGAAUGGGGUAUCAGUGCAGAGAGCUCCAGUGAAUUGCUGUGCAUGGAGGCCUGACGAUGCUUUUAGACCUCAGAGUUUGCCCAACUUGUCCAAGCAGUACAGUUUCCCAAUGAAUUCAGAUAGGCAUUAUGGCUGUGGUGGAUCUGUCUGGGGUUGCAAGAAUGCUGCAUCCAUACCAAAAUCUUGCCCUAUCUGCUAUGAGGAUCUGGACUUCACUGAUUCAAGUUUUCUUCCUUGUUCUUGUGGGUUCAGGCUUUGUCUUUUCUGCCACAAGAGGAUUCUUGAGGAGGAUGGGCGCUGUCCUGGCUGUCGUAAGCAGUAUAACUAUGAUCCUGUUGAGGGGGAGGCAACUCUGGAUGGAGGCAGCCUGACAUACCGAUUGGGUCGUUCUUGUAGCAUGAUAACGAGGUCUUAGGAAAAGUGUCUAUUUCCCUUUAAUGUAUGCUGCGUCUCCCUCCCUCAUGCAGUAUCACUCGGCUUUAUAAUUUUAGACUCUGAUUUUAGUAGCGUUAGUUGUUGGUAUAGGAGUGAUUUUCAAGCACAGGAGUAUUAAUAUGGUUUAAUGAUUUUGAUCCAUAUUUCUAUGAUGCUUGUGCUAAUGUAGAAGGCUCAUUAUGUGAAUAGAUAAUGUGGUAUAGAAACUGAACAUAUAAUAUUGGAUUGAAAACAGCUUAUGGAGUGAAUUUUCGUGUACUGGAUUAAUUUACUGUUACCAAUGAAAUAAAUUCAAAAUAUAUCCACGUAAGCUACUAGUUGUAGCGACCUGUUCAGUUAUAUAUGUGUUUGUGUCCUGUUCCUUAUUUUCUGUUAGCGACCCAAAGCAAAUAUUUGGACUUCCAAGAGUUUAUCCUUGGUUUUGGUGCAUGAGAUAUUUGCUUUUAGUGUGGAAUACUUUAGGCACAAUUAGAGAAAUGCUUGGAGGCAGCUGUACCUUCAGAGUAUUACUACUGUAUAUUAAUCCAUUACAGGUUUUAGCUUUUGGUUGUUUGGUAGGAGAGAGUGGGGAAAACAAAAAGCUUGAUCUUGAUCUACCCUUCUGCCCAACCUCCCCCCCCCCCACAAAAAACAAAAAAAAGAAAAAGAAAAAAGGGAAAAGUCAAGUCUUUCCUCUGUUUAUUUUGCUGAAAUUUUAUCGAAACGAGUAAAUGAUAUAGGUGUUGAAAACCGCUUGGAGCAGUUGGUAUUGCAAAGAUUUUAGUGGUUCAGAGGGCUUCAAUAUUCUCAGAUUGUGCUGCAUAUUGUCAUUAUACUUUCUUGUUUCCGUUUAUAUGCUGUUAAAAUUAAAUUUUCGCAAACACGGCUAUUAAUAUAUCCGGAAAAAUAUCUUCGAGUACUUCUACCCCUUGAAAUGGUGUUUUGACACAAAAUAGCUAAGAUGAUGGAGAUUGAUAAGUGUGGAAGAAAGAUUUUUCCAAUCAAUGUGUCUAUGGCAUGAGUGAUAUGGAAAAGAUUUGCUCUCCUACUUCCCAAUGGUGUGUUCAAGACCACAUUGUGUAACUUAUGGUUGAUCGGGGAUUCCCUUGCUCCAUAACCUGGUAUUACUAGGUAUGUGAAAUCGGUAUAUCCGCAUCAACACACAGGCUGAUGUGAUUAGCCUCUCAGGGAAGAGUUGCUUACGUUGCAGAGCAAUGGUAUUUCAAAUGGAAUCUGCUUUUGGCUGUUGCUGCUGAAAUCCUAUUGCUGGACAGUUUAGUUGACAUUUUGUGGAUAUCACACUGUUCAAUAUUGCAAGUAAGGUGAUGUUCCAGUUUGAAUGCAUGUAUUUUGCUGGUUGUUAGUGGUUGUGUAAUUAUUUGAUGUUGACUUCCCCUAAUUUAGCAAGGCUUGUGGGUAGUGGGGGGAGGACGGCAAAUUAGUGGUAGAGAAAUUUUCUUAUCUUUCAUUUUCUUGCACCUUUCUGAUGAUAACUUUACUCUUUUUGUCACUAUUUCUGCCUUUACUGUAUGUUGAUUAUUGUAUAAACUUUGUUCAUUCAUUUAUGUUAGCAAAGUAUUGGAAUAUUAAAUGGCAAUCUUCUUGGUUACAUCUGCUUCGUCUCUUUUUAGAGGCUCAUCAUUGUAGCACAUAUUGUUGCUAUAUCAGUUACUGUUUUUCCUGGGUAAGUGGGUGGGAGCAUCGACAUUAGUAGUUGCCUCCUAUUCUUUGUUUGUCUCUGGCUAUGUCCUUGAGCAGAUUGUCAAGUUUAAUGUGUGCAUUUUGAUUCAUGUGUCUGUAGACGUGCUUAGAAGCUUUGGUAUCGGUUUGAUGGACCAGUAUAUACUUGGAUUUUUAUUUUCUGAGUUUUAAAACCAAGAAAAUAGCCAUCUACCCUUCUUAUUCUGUUUCAUUCAAGUCUUACCUGACGCUCUAUGAUGAACUCAGGCGUCCAAAGCUGCAGGUUAUAGCCUACAUUGUUGAUCUCUCGGGGAAAAUGUUGAACAUUUUCAAAUAUGUGGGAGAUGAGGAGAUAUAAGCAUCUCUUUCUAUGAUGGCAGCAGGCCAGGAAUUUGGUCCAGUGGAAUUGUACUUGCAUUAUAUCAUAUGCAUGAUGUUUGGUUCUCAGGAGCACCUAAGAAUGGCUUGGAUGGAUAAAUUUGCUGACUGUGGUGCCCUUCAUUCGUCGUUGCAGUUUUUGUUAAUGGAAUGAGUCUUACGAAAACAUGAUGCAAAGAUUUAGUCCAUUUGUUUGAAGAGCUUCAUACGUUUUCCCCUUCGUGCAUCUAGGUUUCUUGGUUUGUUUAUUGACAAAUCAUUUUUGUGAAAAUUUUGCAUUGUGAGUUUAUUUCUUAUUCUUUAUGAAGCAUCCACUGCAUUUUUCUGUCUGCUGUUCUGGUGACGGCGACACCUGGCCAAGAAACGUGUAAAUGCUUCGUGAUUAGAUGCUAUCCAUAUUUGUUAAGGAGUUGCUGUGUGCGGAAGGAGUAGGAGAUGUGAAAAACAGAACUAGAUUCCAUUAGCAAUCCAGCCGAGGGAUCAAGAUCCCGCAGCGGUUCAUGUGACCAGGAGCAAAGUUGAUAUUUUCCUAAGCCAAUUUGAUCAUUAUAUUUUACAAUUUUGGGGAUUCAUUGUUGAACAAUUGCGUCCCUGACAGGCGACAGCGAUGCCGAGCCAUGUUUACACCCUUCAUCCUAAAAUUCCCUGCAUGGCUACAUCUAAACAAGGCAUAUCUAAACUUUGACUGGUAAAUAAUUUGUAGGAGAUUGAAGUUAAGAGAUGAUCCUGCGACAUAAAAAGUUUCCCAAAAUAAUAGAAAUAAGAUGAGCCAAUUUAUUUACUUUUAAUGUUCGUUUUUUGGCUGAAGUGGGAGCUUUAUUUUAAAUCUUUGUGGUGUUUAUAAGCUCUAUUGGCUGCUCUAGCUCUGAAUGUUCAGAGAAAUUGUUCUUGCUUAACAAUAUCCAUGGUUUCGAUGUAAAAACCAUUUUCAACAGCCAUUUUUAAAGAUAAGAGCAAAAAGUAUUAAAAGUUAACAUUUGCCAAUAUAUUUAAGUACCAAGACAUGUCACUUUUUUGGGAUAAUGUACUUUUGGGUGCUACGCGGAGGAUGAAGAAAAACUUCUUAACUUGUGACAGUGCAGAAGAUGAAAGCCAAAGCAGGAACAAGGCUUCUCUAAAUGUUGUUCAUCAACCUUGCAAUGCAAGAUUCAGAUUGAUGUUUGGGAGGAAGAUUUCUCCACCAU